rnacentral:rRNA from 1 species
UACGUAGGGUGCAAGCGUUGUCCGGAAUUAUUGGGCGUAAAGAGCUCGUAGGCGGUCUGUCGCGUCUGCUGUGAAAACUCAGGGCUUAACCCUGAGCUUGCAGUGGGUACGGGCAGACUAGAGUGCGGUAGGGGAGACUGGAAUUCCUGGUGUAGCGGUGAAAUGCGCAGAUAUCAGGAGGAACACCGAUGGCGAAGGCAGCUCGCUGGGACGUAACUGACGCUGAGACGCGAAAGCGUGGGGAGCAAACAGG